ACUGGCCUAGUCAAAGUGUUCAAUGGCAGCUCCAUAAAUAAAGACUUUGGAAGAACCACAGUGCUGGUUGAUUGGACC